rnacentral:rRNA from 1 species
AGCGGCGGACGGGUGAGUAACACGUGGAUAACCUACCUAUAAGACUGGGAUAACUUCGGGAAACCGGAGCUAAUACCGGAUAAUAUUUUGAACCGCAUGGUUCAAAAGUGAAAGACGGUCUUGCUGUCACUUAUAGAUGGAUCCGCGCUGCAUUAGCUAGUUGGUAAGGUAACGGCUUACCAAGGCAACGAUGCAUAGCCGACCUGAGAGGGUGAUCGGCCACACUGGAACUGAGACACGGUCCAGACUCCUACGGGAGGCAGCAGUAGGGAAUCUUCCGCAAUGGGCGAAAGCCUGACGGAGCAACGCCGCGUGAGUGAUGAAGGUCUUCGGAUCGUAAAACUCUGUUAUUAGGGAAGAACAUAUGUGUAAGUAACUGUGCACAUCUUGACGGUACCUAAUCAGAAAGCCACGGCUAACUACGUGCCAGCAGCCGCGGUAAUACGUAGGUGGCAAGCGUUAUCCGGAAUUAUUGGGCGUAAAGCGCGCGUAGGCGGUUUUUUAAGUCUGAUGUGAAAGCCCACGGCUCAACCGUGGAGGGUCAUUGGAAACUGGAAAACUUGAGUGCAGAAGAGGAAAGUGGAAUUCCAUGUGUAGCGGUGAAAUGCGCAGAGAUAUGG